GAGAAAGUCGUGAUGGUCACGGGGCUGGCUUGAAACUAGUCUUUAGGAAGUUCAAUUCUUUCCUUUCUC
rnacentral:tRNA from 1 species